ACAGGCCACCAUACUUAACAGUUAAAUAAGAUAUGAGAUAACAACAUUUAGCUAAUACAGAUAGAUAUAUAAACAUUCAUUUAAAACAAAACAACAAAUAAUACAGAGACAAAUGAAACCCUUCCCCCUAACGUUUCUGGUAAGAAAGAUCACCAAUGAAAGAAACCAAAGUUUCUUCAAGAUGAAGUGCCCUGGAAACAGGUAAAGCCCCCUCUCUGACUCGACACUUCACUGAAGGUUAUCAGUUCAGGAUUGUAUAGAACCUUCAUGAAGUGACUACAGUAAUCUUCAAAGCAUCCACACCCCUUUCAGGACAAAGCCACCAGGACAUCUCUCUGGCACAAAGGACGUAGACCAUGGAGACUGCAGAUGGUUGUGAAGGCUCUGCAGCUCUGAGGACAUCUUAAACAAAGAGGACCCGAACCUCUGCUCUUCAAACAGUCCAUGGGAACCACUUAACAGAACACCCUGGGAGAACUCGGUCUGAAACAAACAGCUCUGGGGUUUGAUCUCACUGGCGCCUGCAUUAGAAGUAGGGUGGAGAGAAAACUCUUCACUCAUCUCUUGGUCAGACGGAGAGAGGAGAAAAAAAGAAGUAGGUUUCCACUCGCUUCCAUUUUCUAACUGAUCAGGAGUGAGAGCGUUUUUGGAAAGAUUCAGUUUGGGGCCUUCUUCCAGCUUGUCAGGUUCCUCCAGAAGCUCACUGCCCCGAGGUGACUUAGAGGACCCCUCCAGCUCCACUGACUUAAACCCGUUACUACAAGGACUCUUGCUGUUGUCAGACUCCGACAUCAUGGAAUCCAGCUCAGAGAUUUUGUCAAGAUAAGCAGCAUCCAUGGAUGCUUCACUGGAUGUUCUUGUCCGGUUCAUUUCAAGAGAGCGAAUACAAUUUAGUCUCUUAGACAAGCAUGAGCCUGACCUCUCACUCAAUUUUGAAGGUAUUUCCCCAACAGAAUUUGCUAUUAUAUUCCCCUCUGAACUGUCAAACUCCAAGCUUUGGGCAUAGCUUGUGGAGCAACAAUCCCAAAAUCCUGACUUGGGGGAAGCAAAACGAUCUGAUUUCUUUUCAUUUUCGCUUCUACUUACAUCAUCCUCUGAAGAAUUGUUAUUACAGGCAUUUGGAGAGUCACAAAAAUCAUCAAAUACCAGUUUUCUCAGAUGGUUUGCAUGCUUUUUGGAACUCCCGGCUUUGAUUACAGAGUUCUCUCUGUUUUCUGGAGUGUUUAGCUGAAGGCAGCUAAGGGACAAAGGAGUGCAAGGAGCUGGGAGAUCAUAAAGCUCUUCCUCUUUGUAGGGUGCACAGUCACUUGGCUUACUGCCCCACUCUCCUUCCAAAUAAGUAUCCAUUGGUGCCUCCCUCAUAGCCAGCAGCAUCUCUGUGGGCUUGGAGUACCUGUCUUUGUUCUUGGGACAGUUUGGUUCAGUCUUGCUGGUGCUUUCCUGUCUGACAGAACUGGUGUCAGCGAGUCUGCUGCUAGGUGUUGUUAGGUGAGAAGCCGAAACGGAGGUGGCUGAGCCAGCCUGCUUCCUGGCACUGUCACCCUGAUUCUUUGAUGCCACAACCUCGUCGUUGCCUUUGGGCCCCUUGCCAUCUGCAGAGGGUGCCCUCUGGCAAAGGGCAUCCAUCUCUCCCUUUGCCUCAUCUGAAUGUUUCAGUUGGGCUACUUGAGACUCUAGCUCUUCUAUGUAUUUAUCACUUCGUUCUAGAGCUUUCUUGAGGCGAUUGGUUUCACGUUCAUAUUGUUCUACUUUGGACUGAAGAGCAGCAAUGUUACAAAAAUGAUUACAACUAAGGGAAUGUAUCUGCUUUAAAACAUAUGAAAGAGCACAAGGAGCCAAGAGCAACUGUACCUUGCAGUCAACCACAUGUCCUAGACAGCCACUCAAUGCCUGUCACCUCCUAAACUCCGGGCCCAUUUCUCCAGCAGAGCACUGACAUGAUCUCUGCUCUCUUGCUACUGACAGAAAACAGCAAGAGCAAAGGUAAAUAUAGAAUCAUCACAUCUCAGGAUAGAAAGGGCUUUAAAAGAUGCGAAUGCUGAAUAUUGAUCUGCUCACUGCAAUUAACUCAACUCCCAGAGCACAUUGCCUUCAACUUCCAAAAUGCAAGACAAAAGCAAGAGACAUAAUAAAAACAAAAACUAAAGGAGCAAACCUCUUCAUCUUAAGACAAAGUUUGCGACUAUGAGCAUUUAGUUAAGCAAUGACAGAAGCUUUUCUUUGCUAAAAAACACUUUAGCUUCUAAAUAUAGUCCAUGGCAGAGCUGUAGAUAUCUGCAAGAGAACUUUAGAAAGGUGGCCAAAGACUUUGGAGUGCAUUCUGCAAACACGUUUGUGAGUUCCUGAUUGAAACUAUUCUGGCAUACUCAACCUGCAUGUUUUUAAAUGGAAAAACUGUGUAGCAUGUUUAUUUAAUGCAAAGAGCAAAAAUGACAGCCUUACAUUUACUCACAGAGAUUCAUUUUUAACUAUAGACUUUAUAACACAGAUAUCUUCACAUAAAAAA